rnacentral:misc_RNA from 1 species
AAGUCGUAACAAGGUUUCCGUAGGUGAACCUGCGGAAGGAUCAUUAACACGAUUUGAAUCUAUCCUUUUUUUAUCAACUCCUAAUGUGAACUUGUAACCUACCCCUAUUUACAUUCAAUUGUCUUUAGGGCCCAUCAAUUGCUCUUCUUUUUAUUGAGAAGGGUGGUUGUAUUUUUUUCACCUUUUUUAUAAUUUCUUAAUUACAAACUCCUAAAUUAUGAUAAUCAAUAUCAAAUUAUUUGAAUAUUGAACUAAAUUACAUUCGUUUGCUGUAUUUGUGAAUGUUAAGGUGAACUGUAACAAGUUUUCGUUUUCGUUCAUGAAUCAGUUAUUUCUAACAUAAAAUAAAAUGUUGAAACAACUCUUAGCAAUGGAUAUCUUGGUUCUC